GAAUAUGAAGCGAUAAAUCGCAACUAGUUUCGACCUAUUCUUAGAUGUAAAAUCAUCCUUAUUCU
rnacentral:tRNA from 1 species